rnacentral:rRNA from 1 species
UACAGAGGUCUCAAGCGUUGUUCGGAUUCAUUGGGCGUAAAGGGUGCGUAGGCGGCGCGGUAAGUCGGGUGUUAAAUCUCGGAGCUUAACUCCGAAACUGCAUUCGAUACUGCCGUGCUUGAGGACUGGAGAGGAGACUGGAAUUUACGGUGUAGCAGUGAAAUGCGUAGAUAUCGUAAGGAAGACCAGUGGCGAAGGCGGGUCUCUGGACAGUUCCUGACGCUGAGGCACGAAGGCCAGGGGAGCAAACGGG